rnacentral:rRNA from 1 species
CACCCAGACUCCUACGGGAGGCAGCAGUGGGGGAUAUUGCACAAUGGGGGAAACCCUGAUGCAGCGACGCCGCGUGAGUGAAGAAGUAUUUCGGUAUGUAAAGCUCUAUCAGCAGGGAAGAAAAUGACGGUACCUGACUAAGAAGCCCCGGCUAACUACGUGCCAGCAGCCGCGGUAAUACGUAGGGGGCAAGCGUUAUCCGGAUUUACUGGGUGUAAAGGGAGCGUAGACGGCAGCGCAAGUCUGAAGUGAAAUCCCAUGGCUUAACCAUGGAACUGCUUUGGAAACUGUGCAGCUGGAGUGCAGGAGAGGUAAGCGGAAUUCCUAGUGUAGCGGUGAAAUGCGUAGAUAUUAGGAGGAGCACCAGUGGCGAAGGCGGCUUACUGGACUGUAACUGACGUUGAGGCUCGAAAGCGUGGGGAGCAAACA